AGCAGUGUAGUUUAGUGGUUAGGGAGCUGGACUCAUAACUGAAAGGUUCCCAGUUCAAUUCCCCACUGGGGCACUGCUG